GAUGAACGCUAGCGGCAGGCCUAAUACAUGCAAGUCGUACGGCAGCGCGGGCAGCAAUGCCCGGCGGCGAGUGGCGGAUGGGUGCGUAACGCGUAUGCAACCUGCCCCUUACAGGGGGAU
rnacentral:rRNA from 1 species